rnacentral:rRNA from 1 species
GUCGAGAAUUUUUCUCAAUGGGCGAAAGCCUGAAGGAGCGACGCCGCGUGGGGGAUGAAGAGCUUCGGUUUGUAAACCCCUGUCAUUUGCGAACAAACCCUCCGGUUGAACAGGCCGGAGGCUGAUCGUAGCAGAAGAGGAAGGGACGGCUAACUCUGUGCCAGCAGCCGCGGUAAUACAGAGGUCCCGAGCGUUGUUCGGAUUCACUGGGCGUAAAGGGUGCGUAGGCGGUGAGGCAAGUUUGAGGUGAAAUCUCCAGGCUUAACCUGGAAAUUGCCUUGAAGACUGCCUUGCUAGAGGAUCGGAGGGGAGGCUGGAAUUCUCGGUGUAGCAGUGAAAUGCGUAGAUAUCGAGAGGAACACCAGUGGCGAAGGCGAGUCUCUGGACGAUUCCUGACGCUGAGGCACGAAAGCCAGGGGAGCAAACGGGAUUAGAUACCCUAGUAGUCC